UACGGAGGGUGCAAGCGUUGUUCGGAAUCAUUGGGCGUAAAGCGCGUGUAGGCGGCCGGGUAAGUCUGAUGUGAAAGCCCGGGGCUCAACCCCGGAAGUGCAUUGGAUACUGCCUGGCUAGAGGGCGAGAGAGGAAAGUGGAAUUCCUGGUGUAGGGGUGAAAUCCGUAGAUAUCAGGAGGAACACCAGUGGCGAAGGCGACUUUCUGGCUCGUUACUGACGCUGAGACGCGAAAGCGUGGGGAGCAAACAGG
rnacentral:rRNA from 1 species